rnacentral:lncRNA from 1 species
UACGUUCUUGACCACCUUUCUUGAUUGUUGUUGAACUAUAUGCAUCACAAGCGUAUGCUUGUAACCGCAUGAUUAAUACAUAGGAUUAGAUGUUGUUGAAAGCUUGAGGAAAACACCAUUGGUUUCUUUUUAUGAGCUUAGCGCUUGGACAUGGAUAACUAUUUAUUUUUUGGCUUUAUAGGGAUAUAUAUAAACAUGUGUAUGAUGGCUCUGUAAGAAUGUCGUGUAACUCAUAGGGAUGUUUUUUUUUUUGGAUGAAAAAGGUUACUAGGAGGUAAGUAGUAUUUAGUUUGUAACAAUUGCUUUGUGAAAAAAAAGGUCUGCUGGAAUGAUUGAUUGAGCAUGGAAUGGGAACUUUGCUUGUCAUGAGCUCGAGUAAUAGAUUGCAUGAUGCUUCGAAACUUUUUUGUUUUUUGUUUUUGUUUAUGUAUUUUGCUUGGCAUGAGAUAGCUUGCUUUGCUUGGCCUAUGAAGUUAAUAUUGCUCGCAUGCUAGUGUGGAGAUUGCUUGGGUUUAAUACAUAUAACUAACUUUAUACUUUGCCCUUUUGCAACAUAUUCUUUGUUGGCAAUUCUUGCAGGGAUUUCACGUAACAAGUCAUAAUGACCUCUGUGAUGAGCGAUGGCCUAUUUCCCCUUGCACGAUGGGCUGAAGAAAAGACGACUACCUUCAUCGCUUAGAAACACUUGCCAAGACUUGAUCAUAGGCAUUGGAUAAGCUUUGGAGGCUACUCUUAUUUCCAGGUGCUGUAUAGAAGAAAUGCUUGUUUUCGGCAGCCACCUGAUUUUUUCAAUACCCUUGCAACAUCAUUAAGGGCUGGCCAGAGUGGUUUGAUUGUGAGUUGGCAAACCCAACUAUCGAUGAUGUUUUGUGAAUGAUUGAAGGUUGCAAAGGAAACAUCGUUUUCGACCUUAUAGUAGUGUACUGAAAGGGUUUGAGCAUGUGUCUUAUUAGGACCUUGCCUGGACUUCCCGUUUGAUACUUAGAAGAAGUUAUAGCACACACACACACUGUUUUUAGAGCAUGAGCUGCUUGUAGCGUAAAGUUGCACGCCUGAUCCCCUUAAGCAAGAGUUGUCGUUAAUGCGUUAAGCCUUAAAGACACGAAUUGGAGAGUCGGUGGCAUAAGCUACGAGACCUUCUCCUUUACAAAUGAGCUACUGAUAAUGGUGCUUGGUGCGUGGUGGAAACAUUGAAAGGAUCAUCUGUUUGCUCUUCUUCUGUUCCAUUUUAGUCAUGCACCGUGAUCUAGUUGAGGUACCUAGUUCUCCUUAUUUGCACAGUGAUAUAUAUAAAAUUUCUUUUCAGCAAGGCUAUAUCUUCCAGCACCAUCAUUCUCUAACGCCCAUCCUUAUUUUGCCUUGCAAGUUGCAUUUCUUUGUUGUGGGGAGCUGGCUCGAUGCAUAGUAGCUUUUCCUUUUGAAACUGCAAGGUGUAUCAAUCUUUAGCACAAUUGACUGCAUUUGGGCUUGAGUUGUAACCUUUUUUUUUUUUUUUUCGGAGAGCCUAAAGCUCAUGUUGUUGGAAACUUGAAACACAACAUUGUUGCAUACUUUCUUUCAUAACUUUUGAUGUAGAAUGCUUGAGAUAUUAAGCUUCGGCCUGUUUUGUACACCUUGCUUGGUUGGAAAUGAUAGAAUGCAUGAAUUGUUGGGGUUUAUAAUGCAUUAAUAUAAUGAUUUCCAGCUUGUUCUGUACACUUCGCUUGGUUGUAAAUGAUCAAAUGCAUGAGUUGCUUGAGACUUAACAGGUUGGGUUGUGGUAGGUGCAAGGUACAUGCUGCCAAUUUUUACAAGAUCACAAAAGUGUUUGCCUCAUUGCCUCUACGUUUUUUUUUUCCUCCACAAGGCCUACCUUAUGUGAUCCGAUUUUUCUUUUCUUUUCACAGCACCCCAACACAUACACUCUCUUCAAAUAUCGCAGGGACUGGAAUGAUUUUCCUUGAUAGCUUGACCUUC